rnacentral:lncRNA from 1 species
AAUUAGUAGCUCAUUAUGAGUUUAACCUCUACAUGGAUAUGAUAGCUACACCUGAAUUAAACAUACUAAAAUUGAUGUUCCUGCUAACUCCCCAUGACAGCUUGAAUAUUCAAUUACCAGCCAUAGAUGCAUGUUUAUGAUUUCAAAAUCAGUUUUAGGCUCCUAACUGUUUCUAGACAAACAAAUCAAGCGGACAGAUGAUAAUCAAGUUAUGCAACAUUAAGGCUAAUAAUACAUGAACAAUCAUAAAAAAAUUUCAAACAAUCCAGUCCAUAUUACAAAUAAAUCCACAGUUAUACUAGUACAAGCAAUGGAAUAUGGUUUAAAUUAUGCUAAAAUAAAACUCUAAACUAAGUGAAAUAAUGGGAUCUUCAGGUAAUAAGCAGUAAUUCAUUAUCCAUUCCUUGAAUCUGCAAUUCCAGUUAUCAAACACCUCUUGAGAUUGAGUAAUACCCGGAAUCAAGGCAAAAAUAAAAGGAGGCAGGAUCAGCAAGUUUAGCAGUAACACAGUACAGAAAUCUACAGCUCGAGUCUAUUGUGAACCCAGAAAUAGCAUCAAACAUCCCAGGAAAGCUUUAACGCAAACAUCAUCAAUAAACCACCCAAAACAACUUGCAUAAACCCCAACCAACUUGAAAUCAAACCCAGGACAAUUUCUGAAGGUUUAGCACUUCAAACACACAUAUUUCAAUCAUUUUCAUCUUUAUGUAGCUAGAAAUUCCUGUUGAUAGCUGAGAAUUGGAAUUAUUCUUAAGAAAAUACUCUAAUGGAACGGUAGAAUCUCUGGGAAUUUAGUGAAUUUUUCAGACUUCCCAAAACUUUGAAUUUUUUUAGAAUUUCUAACCUUUUGGGAAAUUUUAGGGAAUUUUUAGGAUUUUCAGACUUCAAAACUAGUAAAUGAAGACAUUAGGAUGCCUUUUUAUAGCCAAAGCUUUAGGGAAACCCUUUUUUACUGUGUUUACCCAUUAGUCCCCCUCUUAUUUUUAGAUUUUAUUCAACUAGUCCCUAAAAGAUUGACUUGUGCUUCAAUUAUUUGUAUUAGAGUCUUAGAAUUAUAACUUUAACCCUCUUCUAGAAGGGUCGAGGGUGUUCUUGUUUAUCCUACAACAUUUUAUCCAGUUCUAAGUACAUAGACUACCCCUGAAUCUACUUUGAAAUUACAAAUUCUGUAUUAACUAAACCUCAAACCCUUUUACCCUAAAUGAGGACUAUCAUCUAUAACCAAAACCAAUUAAACUAAGUGAAAACUAACUAAUAACAGGGAGGGAAUCAAUAACUGAACAAAGUUAAUAAGAAAAUUGGAAUUGUAUAGCAACCGGAGAUAUCAAAAACUAUCCAAAUAAACACUGAAUCCAAACAAUUCCAACUAAUAUCAAAAUCCCAAGAACACGAUUAAUCACACGAAUAACUAAACCAGAAUAAAAAGAUAAAAUAGAAAAUUACUAAGAAACCUACUAAUUUUGGAUGAAUAAAUACUAAAAAAUAAAGAUAACAAUAAGAAUAAAAAAAUGAUAGAAAUACCUCAAAUAAUCGAAGGGAUUCUGGCCAAGCUUUGCAAAAUUCGGAUUGCAACUGUCCUUAUUUCUAUGUUUCCAUGAGAAACACAAGAUGAAGGACCAUUACAGUCCAAAGUCUAACGAACUCCGGUCAUCUUCGAAAAUUUAGGGUUUUGGGGUCAGUGUUUGAUAUAAAAUUCAAGAUGUUAGAGGAAGAUUCGAAGGAAGUGGGGUUCAGAUUUGGGUAGAAGAGGCAAAGGGGAACCUAUUGUAUAUUUUUGGUGUCCGUCUGAGCUGGUGUUGCCGUGGAAGGCGGACCAGUCACUCUUUUGAACGAAAAUUCAAGGGUUUUGGCCGGGAUUUAAGGGAUAUGGGUUAAAAAAAUGGAAAGAUGGAGUCAAGGGGAUGAACGAUGUAAUUUUCGGGUCGAUUGGAGCUUCGCCGGCAACGAUGAUGGGCGGAGGGUUGGCGGAGAGAUCGGAGGUACGAGGAAGAUGCUACACGGUCUCUAGGGUUGUAACGUGUUUCGGACAAUUUGAUCUAAUAUUGAGGAUGAAUCUGAGCCGUUGGAUGAUAGGAAUGGAUGGCUAAGACAAACUGGACGCCAAACGGCG